UAAUACGAAGGGGACUAGCGUUGUUCGGAUUUACUGGGCGUAAAGCGCGCGUAGGCGGAUCACUAAGUCAGGGGUGAAAUCCCGAGGCUUAACCUCGGAACUGCCUUUGAUACUGAUGAUCUGGAGAUCGGGAGAGGUUGGUGGAAUUCCGAGUGUAGAGGUGAAAUUCGUAGAUAUUCGGAGGAACACCAGAAGCGAAGGCGGCCAACUGGCCCGAUACUGACGCUGAGGCGCGAAAGCGUGGGGAGCAAACAGGAUUAGAUACCCUGGUAGUCCACGCCGUAAACGAUGAGUGCUAGACGUCGGGGUCCUCAGGACUUCGGUGUCGCAGCUAACGCGUUAAGCACUCCGCCUGGGGAGUACGGCCGCAAGGUUA
rnacentral:rRNA from 1 species